AUUGAACGCUGGCGGCAGGCUUAACACAUGCAAGUCGAGCGAGCUGCGGACGGGUGAGUCAUGUCUGGGAAAAUGCCUGAUGGAUGGGGAUACCUACUGGAAACGGGAGCUAAUACCGCCUACCAUCCUAUGUGCCCAUAUGGGAUUAGCUAGUAGGUGGGGUAAUGGCUCACCUAGGCGACGAUCCCUAGCUGGUCUGAGAGGAUGACCAGCCACAAUGGAACUGAGACACGGUCCAGACUCCUACGGGAGGCAGCAGUGGGGAAUAUUGCACAAUGGGCGCAAGCCUGAUGCAGCCAUGCCGCGUGUGUGAAGAAGGCCUUCGGGUUGUAAAGCACUUUCAGCGAGGAGGCGUUACUCGCAGAAGAAGCACCGGCUAACUCCGGGCCAGCAGCCGCGGUAAUAC
rnacentral:rRNA from 1 species